rnacentral:rRNA from 1 species
AGCGAACGCUGGCGGCAGGCUUAACACAUGCAAGUCGAACGCCCCGCAAGCGGAUUGGCACAGGGGUGAGUAACGCGUGGGAACAUACCCUUUCCUGCGGAACAACUCAGGGAAACUUGUCCUAAUACCGGAUACGCUCGCAAGAGGAAAGAUUUAUUGCUGAAAGAUCGGCCCGCGCUGGAUUAGCGAGUUGGUGGGGUAAUGGCCAACCAAGGCGACGAUCCAUGGCUGGGCGGAGAGGAUGAUCAGCCACACUGGGACUGAGACACGGCCCAGAAUGGUACGGGAGGCAGCAGUGGGGAAUAUUGGACAAGAGACGAAAGCCUGAUCCAGCCAUGCCGCGUGAGUGAGGAAGGCCCUAGUGUUGUAAAGCUCGUUCACCGGUGAAGAAAGUGACGGUAGUCGGAGAAGAAGCCCCGGCUAACUUCGUGCCAGCAGCCGCAGUAA